rnacentral:rRNA from 1 species
UGGGGAAUAUUGGACAAUGGGGGAAACCCUGAUCCAGCAAUGCCGCGUGAGUGAAGAAGGCCUUAGGGUUGUAAAGCUCUUCGCCCGCGAAGAUAAUGACGGUAGCGGGAGAAGAAGCCCCGGCUAACUCCGUGCCAGCAGCCGCGGUAAUACGGAGGGGGCUAGCGUUGUUCGGAAUUACUGGGCGUAAAGCGUACGUAGGCGGAUGCGCAAGUUGGGGGUGAAAUCCCGGGGCUUAACCUCGGAAUUGCCCUCAAAACUGCACGUCUUGAGACCGAGAGAGGUAAGGGGAAUUCCUAGUGUAGAGGUGAAAUUCGUAGAUAUUAGGAAGAACACCGGUGGCGAAGGCGCCUUACUGGCUCGGUACUGACGCUGAGGUACGAAAGCGUGGGGAGCAAACA